CUGUAACAGCAGUUAUUUGAAUGUAUAUAACAAACCUAUGUAAUAAUUUGAUCCAAUCAGUAAAUAAAUAGAACCCGUGUCUAUUUACUAGUCCCAGUGCAUAUCUGAUAAUUUUGCAUGACUGAACACAAAACCACAAUAUGGUGAUUGUCUGUGGUUUUGCUGAGAUGAUGUGAAGUUAGUGACGCAAAUGUGAAGACCAUGAAAAAGCCUCACAAAAUUUGAAGCAGUACAGAAGCCACCUGUAAUUCUAGGAGUCAAAAUCAUGAUACAAACAGUGCUGGCUGAACGGUCAGAUGUCUGGAGAUCGGGCACCCCCUGUAUAUAAAAUGGUAGUAUAUCUGUCAAUGGCAAAGAUGGCAGCAGGUAAUUCUAUCCCACCCAACUGCCCGCCCUUUUAACAACCUACCUAAAGAGUUGAGAAAGAUUCGGGUAGUGACUGGGAACCACGCGGCAGGAGCUGAACAUGCGAGCUGGUGACGGUG